rnacentral:tRNA from 1 species
AACGUUGCGCCGGUAUGAACGGAUUAUAUUGAUGUUAUAAAUAAUAAGACUUAUAGUAAUCUUCUACGUUU